UACGAAGGGGGCUAGCGUUGCUCGGAAUCACUGGGCGUAAAGGGCGCGUAGGCGGCCAUUCAAGUCAGAGGUGAAAGCCCAAGGCUCAACCUUGGAACUGCCUUUGAUACUGUUUGGCUUGAGACCGGUAGAGGUAAGUGGAACUGCGAGUGUAGAGGUGAAAUUCGUAGAUAUUCGCAAGAACACCAGUGGCGAAGGCGGCUUACUGGACCGGUUCUGACGCUGAGGCGCGAAAGCGUGGGGAGCGAACCGG
rnacentral:rRNA from 1 species